UCCCGUUGAUCCUGCGGGAGGUCGCUGCUAUUGGGGUUCGACUAAUCCAUGCAAGUCUGGUAGCAAUACCGGCGAAAUGCUCAGUAACACGUCGUUAAUCUGCCCUUAGGUCCAGGAUAACCUUGGGAAACUGAGGCUAAGACUGGAUAGGGGAUUGAUACUGGAAGGUUCUUUCUCUUAAAAGUAAUGCCUAAGGAUGAGACGGCGGCCGAUUAGGUUGUUGGUGGUGUAAAGGACCACCAAGCUUAUGAUCGGUAGGGGCCUUGAGAGAGGUAGCCUCGAGAAGGGUACUGAGACACUGACCCUAGCCCUACGGGGUGCAGCAGGCGCGAAACCUUUACAAAGCACGAAAGUGUGAUAAGGGAACCCCAAGUGCCUUGCUUUCGCAAGGCUUUUGUCAAGUGCAAAUAGCUUGGAGAAUAAGUGGUGGGCAAGACUGGUGCCAGCCGCCGCGGUAACACCAGCUCCACAAGUGGUGACCACAAUUAUUGGGCCUAAAGCGUCCGUAGCCGGUUCUAUAAAUCUUUUGUGAAAUCGUUUGACUUAACCAAACGGCGUGCAGAAGACACUGUAGAACUAGAGACCGGGAGGAGUUAAAAGAAUUUCUGGGGGAGCGGUAAAAUGCAAUAAUCCCAGAAAGACUACCUGUGGCGAAGGCGUUUAACUAGAACGGUUUUGACGGUGAGGGACGAAAGCUAAGGGAGCGAUCCGGAUUAGAUACCCGAGUAGUCUUAGCUGUAAACUCUGCGAGCUAGGUGUUGCACAUUCUUCGUGAAUGUGCAGUGUCGAAGCGAAGGUAUUAAGCUCGCCGCCUGGGAAGUAUGGUCGCAAGGCUGAAACUUAAAGGAAUUGGCGGGGGAGCACUACAAGGGGUGCGGCGUGCGGUUUAAUCUAAUUCAACGCAGAGAAUCUCACCAGAGGCGACGGCAGGAUGAAAGACAGUCUGAAGGGCUUUCUUGACGAGCCGAGAGGUAGUGCAUGGCCGUCGUCAGCUCGUGCCGUAAGGUGUCCUGUUAAGUCAGGCAACGAGCGAGACCUGUACUUAGAAUUGCUAACGACCUUUUGGAUCGAGCACAUUCUAAGGACUGCCUUCGAAAGAAGGAGGAAGGUGCAGGCUACGGUAGGUCUGUAUGCUCCGAAUCCUCUGGGCUACACGCGCGCAACAAUGAUAGAGACAAUGGGAUGCAACUCCGAAAGGAGAAGCUAAUCCUCCAAACUCUACCUUAGUUUAGAUCGAGGAUUGUAACUCAUCCUCGUGACACUGGAAUCCCUAGUAAUCAGAUUUUAUCAUGGUCUGGUGAAUAUGUCCCUGCUCCUUGCACACACCGCCCGUCAAACCACCCGAGUAGGGUUUAGAUGAGGUCUUAUUUAGAAUAAGCUCAAAUCUAAGCUCAGCGAGGAGGGUUAAGUCGUCACAAGGUA
rnacentral:rRNA from 1 species